CCUACGGGAGGCAGCAGUGAGGAAUAUUGGUCAAUGGACGAGAGUCUGAACCAGCCAAGUAGCGUGAAGGAUGACUGCCCUAUGGGUUGUAAACUUCUUUUAUAAAGGAAUAAAACGAGGCACGUGUGCCUUUUUGCAUGUACUUUAUGAAUAAGGAUCGGCUAACUCCGUGCCAGCAGCCGCGGUAAUACGGAGGAUCCGAGCGUUAUCCGGAUUUAUUGGGUUUAAAGGGAGCGUAGAUGGGUUGUUAAGUCAGUUGUGAAAGUUUGAGGCUCAACAGUAAAAUUGCAAUUGAUACUGGCAGUCUAGAGUACAGUUGAGGUAGGCGGAAUUCGUGGUGUAGCGGUGAAAUGCGUAGAUAUCACGAAGAACCCCGAUUGCGAAGGCAGCUUACUAAACUGUGACUGACAUUGAUGCUCGAAAGUGUGGGUAUCAAACAGGAUUAGAUACCCUUGUAGUC
rnacentral:rRNA from 1 species